ensembl:lncRNA
UUUUCCUCCACUGGUGAAGAUGUUCUUGUAAACACGUACAGAAAGACCACACCAUCUGGACCUUGUUGUUUUCCUGCUUCAUUAAAAUCUCUGUUGGUGUAACGACCAACAUCUUCACCUGAGACGUUUCUUAUAACCAGAGAACAGUUUGCUGUCAAACUCAGUCUGUUGGUUUUAGCUUCUGGAAUCAAAGCGUUAUUAUUAAUCUUCCCAAGUUUAACCAGCUCCACAGAUGAUCCACUACGACUGUAAAGCCAAGUAGAACCGUUACAUCUGUCCUGAUCCACACGGUUAGAAGGCAAAGUGACGUCAUCUCCGGCUCUGACGAGGAAGCGGGGGUCAGGGGGGGUUUGUCCUCUUACUAUUGACACAUAUGAAAGAACUGAGGUAAGAAUACAGAUCUCUAGACUCCAGUCACACGUGAUGAAGUCAUUAUUUGUGCCCCUCCCAUCUGGCAGGAGGCUGAGGUCCAUCAGGACUUAGACUUGCCGUCGGCAGUCGGGCUCAUCAACAGAUUCCCGUCCCCCACUGACUGACUCUGUCGUCCCACCGGUCGCUUUCUUUCUCACUGCACACGUCACUUUCUGUUCGCUGGUGCACUUUAUUUUUCAUUUCUAAACAUUUCUUUUAUCCCUUUAUUUUUAAACUAACCCGUAGCAUUAUAUUUGAUCUUAUUCCUCGUGCACUGUUGUCUUGUCCUUCAUUGUCGUACUGUCUGCUGUUACGCAACCGCCAAGUGUCGCCGUGGUGCAGGAAUAGAGGGUGUGCUGGGAACCGCAAGGUUGGUGGUCUGAGUCCCAGCUGCCCCGUGUCCCUGAGCAACACACCUAACAACCUAUUUGCUCCCCGGGCAAAAAUAUAAUACGCCAUGGGUUAAAAAUGUAAUGUAAGUAGCUUUGGAUAAAAGCAAAAAUGUAAAGUCAAAUUCCUUGCAUGUCUGACAUAUUAUGGCAAUAAAUGUUUCCUGAUUCCUGAUUAACAAACAGCAUCAGAUGUCUUUUCACAAACGUACCUGUUUGUUCACAUGAGAACUGACUGCAGGCUUCAAACAGCAGAGUUUUUCCACUCCGAGUGUCUCUCACUUCACAUCUCAGUGACUUAUAAUACUUUGACUUCUGAUGAAGAGGAGCUUUAAACGUCACAUUGGCUUCACAAGCAACGUGUGAUGUCGUCACAUCAGUCUGUUUGCCGUCAUAAUGCCACUUUACUGUGUGUUCACACUCAGAGAAUCUCAACACAAAGCAGGACAACACAACCAGACCCCCGUAGUCCUUUUCCUCCACUGGUGAAGAUGUUCAUAUUGUAAACACGUACAGAGAGACCACACCAUCUGGACCUUGAUGUUUUCCUCCUUCAUCAUAAUGUCUGUUGGUGUAACGACCAACACCUUCACCUGAGACGUUUCUUAUAACCAGAGAACAGUUUGCUGUCAAACUCAGUCUGUUGGUUUUAGCUUCUGGAAUCAAAGCGUUAUUCUUAAUCUUCCCAAGUGUAACCAGCUCCACAGCUGGAUCACUACGACUGUGAAGCCAAGUAGAUCCGUUACAUCUGUCCUGAUUAGAAGGCAAAGUGACGUCAUCUCCGGCUCUGACGAGGAAGCGGGGGACAGGGGGGGUUUGUCCUCUUACUAUUGACACAUAUGAAAGAACUGAGGUAAGAAUACAGAUGUUUAGACUCCAGUC